UACGGAGGGGGCAAGCGUUGUUCGGAAUUACUGGGCGUAAAGGGCGCGCAGGCGGCUGCUCAAGUCAGGCGUGGAAGGCCUGGGCUCAACCCGGGAAUUGCGCUUGAGACUGGGCUGGCUUGAGUGCGGGAGAGGAUGGUGGAAUUCCCAGUGUAGAGGUGAAAUUCGUAGAUAUUGGGAAGAACACCGGUGGCGAAGGCGGCCAUCUGGACCGCAACUGACGCUGAGGCGCGAAAGCGUGGGGAGCAAACAGG
rnacentral:rRNA from 1 species